UACAGAGGGGGCCAGCGUUAUCCGGAAUGAUUGGGCGUAAAGCGUCCGCAGGUGGCUGUGUAAGUCUGCUGUCAAAGAGCAAAGCUCAACUUUGUAAAGGCAGUGGAAACUACACGGCUAGAGUGCGUUCGGGGCAGAGGGAAUUCCUGGUGUAGCGGUGAAAUGCGUAGAUAUCGAGAGGAACACCUGCGGCGAAGGCGGGUUGCUGGGCUGAUACUGACGCUGAGGCGCGAAAGCCAGGGGAGCGAACGGG
rnacentral:rRNA from 1 species